rnacentral:rRNA from 1 species
UACGUAGGGUCCGAGCGUUGUCCGGAAUUAUUGGGCGUAAAGGGCUCGUAGGCGGUUCGUCACGUCGGGAGUGAAAACUCGGAGCUUAACUCCAAGCCUGCUUCCGAUACGGGCAGACUAGAGGUAGGCAGGGGAGAGCGGAACUCCUGGUGUAGCGGUGGAAUGCGCAGAUAUCAGGAAGAACACCCGUGGCGAAGGCGGCUCUCUGGGACGGUACUGACGCUGAGACGCGAAAGCGUGGGGAGCGAACAGG